UUUACUUAUGUUGUUCGUGAUAUCUCAGCAAAUGAACAAAAUCUGGUGAUCUAUCAGUAGUAGGCGGUUGGAAUAAGAACAGUUGUCGAAGUACGUGUGCCCCUUGAUGUGACCGUUUCUAUAUCACCUGUGACGAAAUCACACUACGUUAGGACCUGACUUGGGAUGAUGGAUAGGCACUAAAAUAGUGAAAUCCCAUUUCUCUAACUGUACUCAUGGCCUUCUGCUGUGUGCCACUUUGUUGUUCGGACGGGAAAAGGCGUGUGCUGGGCGAGAAGGUGACAUUCCACGAAAUACCUUCACGACUGGACAUACGAGAAAAGUGGUUCGUAGCGAUCAAGAGGGAUGAGUGGUCACCGAACUCCACUUGCAGCUACUCAAGAGUAUGCAGCAGACACUUCCUCGCUUCCGAUUUCAUCGAAGACAAGCGCGUCGACUGAAACGAGACGCCGUGCCGUCUGUCUUCAGCGACUUCCCAUCCCACCUCCCACCAAGAAUCACGAAGAAUAAUUCUGAACAAUCACAUGGAUCUAACAAAUGGAAGCCGCUGAACACAUUGUUGCAUUUUGCUGUGCCUGCGAUCUGUGAAUGCACAUUGCUCCAGUGUCCACAGGCACAAAAUAACACAGGCACGAGCUUGUACAUCUCAUUUGUUCGAAGUUCUUUCGGCCGUUUCUGGUAAAUCUGCUUUUCAUGUAACUGACAGAAAUCACACCUACAAAACUUUCAAAAGGAAGCCCCUCUCCAAAAGGCCGCCAGGGUGGCUCCCCUCUUGCUCCUCCGGUUGAAGCGGCGUUCCAGUUAACUCUGCUUCGAGCUGUACGUGCCGCAGCUGCGUUAGCGCAACAGAACGAACCUCAGGACCAUUGCUUUAGGAAACAAUCCAAGUGUUUGUGUGGCGUCUGUGCUUCCCAGGAACCCGAUGAGUAGCUAUAUGCUGCAGUGCUGGUGAAGUGGCAGAGUUGUGCAAUGACGGCGAAGUACAGUCUACGUCAGGUUCACUGCUUAUUGUGUGUUUACAAGCUGAGUUUGGAGAUUCCUUGGACCGAGAAACAGACGACAGAUACCUGGGUGUGUCGUCCGCGUGAUUCGCCAACGUUUUUCCAUCCCGGUCCUAUCAGGGCUAUCAUCUUUAGUGUGCCUCAUUUCCUUUUCACACCUACACCACAACAGACUUGUGUAGUUUCCAAUUGAGAAGUGAGAAACAGAAUAUGUGUUACCACAGUAAUCCCGAGAAGUGCAAAGAAAUAUGCAGGAGCAAUAAACUACCUGGCCAUAAAUGACAGUUAUAUUUUUAAUGGUAGUGUAAUGCUUCUUAUCGUUGGCAUAGCAGGUGAGGGAUAUAACACGUCAAAUAAUUUCAGGUAAUGUUUCAUAACUCACUAAUGGUACAGUUACACCUCGUUAUCAUAGUAAGUGACACAUCUGUCUGGGAACGUCCACAAUUUGUCAUUCCCACGGAAGAUUGUUGUGCCUUGAUACAGCAAAACAAAUUUUGACACCUGUCAUUGAUCCAAUUUUUUUAGCACCACUGUUUUGAAAACAGCUUUCAAGACUAACUUCAGAGAUCCUUGGCAGAGCAUUACCUCUUGUCUAUGUAUUAUAAUAAUUAUUAUAAUGACAGGCAAUAAGUUACGCAAAUGUGAAUAAAUAUUUGUGUUGACUGA